CCGAUUGACCUUCCUUUCGCUCGGCCAUCAGCUCGUCUAUCUCCAGCUAAGAUGCGAUCACCUACCAUUAUGAUUCCGUCAGAUCCAAUCACCCCAAUAAGUUCCCAGACCUAGAGUGUUCCUCUUACGAAACACAAACUCUCCCACUGCUCGGCGACCGUAGACCACGACGACGGAUUCGAUUCACAAGCAAGCGAGCUCGUGCGAGGUAAGGAAUCUCUCGACCAAGUGUUCCUUUGUUUGAUUCCAGUACAUUAUUGCCAAACCAUUCGAACCCAGUUUGUUGCUAUCGCUAAGCCAUCUUUCCCCGAUUCGUAGGGAAUUCAUAGCUGCCGCAACCAUCAACGUCGACGGUGGUGGUACAAUCUCCCAUGAAUUCUGAAAUUGCAGGUAACAAAUGAGUUGUGUCCCUCUCUUUCAUUCUUUUGAGUAGCCUGAGUCAGUCCAUCAUUCCCAUUUGAACUCAUUCGAUUCUUAUUUGUUCCCAGAGUCGAACCUCUCGUCCGCAACGCUUGGACCCAUCAUUUGGAACCUCCAUGAAGAAAAGACCCCUCCGAAACACCUGGAAAGCAUAGCAGUAAGGUUAGGAAAUUUAUUCGUAUGUUUUAUUUUCGUUUCCGUCGAGUUUCGUGGUGAUUAGUCGAUCGCCGGAGCCUCGUCGAAAUUCUGGGUCUCUUCUCCAAGAUUAAUGGAGAAGAUAAUCCGUAAAUUUCUGUGGCGGCACCUUGAGUUUUCAGUGAUUACGACUUCAUUACUGAAGUUCCAGAAAUUAUAAUCAGUGCUCCAAGUCUUAAUAAAUCGCCUGACGUAAGCAAACUGUUAAAAUCUGCCAGUUUAGUAAUUAACUAUUCCCUUGUAGCUGGAGUGACCUUAGUCAUUGGUUGUGGCUGGUGAUUAGUGAGGGUUAUUUGUUUUAUUUUUCUCUUUUCUGUUUAUCUAAUUAUGUAGGAUAAUUAUUUAUUAUAUUUAUGUAUUCGUAAAAGACUAAGAGAUUAGACUUUUAUUUGUAUUGGCGAUUUGAAGAUUUUAAACAAAGUAUAAAAGUAAAUGUUUGACCGUCAAUGUGAAAUUAUAUAUAAUUAUCAAUAAUUAUUUAAGGAUUGAAUCGUGCUCACAUAUAUUGGGUGUAUCCCUUACCCGUGCUUUUAUUGUACACUCAUCAAUUAUUAGUGCAUUUGGAUUUGUACUUCGUAAUUACUUUGAGACAAUUUUGUUUCAAGGAGUAAAAUUUUUUUCUNNNNNNNNNNNNNNNNNNNNNNNNNNNNNNNNNNNNNNNNNNNNNNNNNNNNNNNNNNNNNNNNNNNNNNNNNNNNNNNNNNNNNNNNNNNNNNNNNNNNNNNNNNNNNNNNNNNNNNNNNNNNNNNNNNNNNNNNNNNNNNNNNNNNNNNNNNNNNNNNNNNNNNNNNNNNNNNNNNNNNNNNNNNNNNNNNNNNNNNNNNNNNNNNNNNNNNNNNNNNNNNNNNNNNNNNNNNNNNNNNNNNNNNNNNNNNNNNNNNNNNNNNNNNNNNNNNNNNNNNNNNNNNNNNNNNNNNNNNNNNNNNNNNNNNNNNNNNNNNNNNNNNNNNNNNNNNNNNNNNNNNNNNNNNNNNNNNNNNNNNNNNNNNNNNNNNNNNNNNNNNNNNNNNNNNNNNNNNNNNNNNNNNNNNNNNNNNNNNNNNNNNNNNNNNNNNNNNNNNNNNNNNNNNNNNNNNNNNNNNNNNNNNNNNNNNNNNNNNNNNNNNNNNNNNNNNNNNNNNNNNNNNNNNNNNNNNNNNNNNNNNNNNNNGGUUUAAUUUAGAAAUUUAAAAUUUUAAUUGCCAUUUGAUUUAAAUUCAAUUAAUAUUAAGUCAUGUUUUUUGUACUUGUAGUAACUAAAUUUGCCCGGGCUUUCGAACUUUUAGUUCUGUAAUCCUUUUCUACGCUGAAAAGUUAAUGCUUUUCGGGCUCGAUUUUUGGGCCUACUUUCGGGCCCGUUAUUGUUAUUAAUUAAGAAGCUGUCACCUUUUGUUUUGUUUUAAAAACGUUGCAGAAUUUAAUUGGAAGAGAGGGGAGAUGGCAGCCCUUUUCUUGAUUAUAAUGGACAAUCAAAAGAAGAAAGGAAAUGAAGAGAGUGGCUUUCCCAAAAAAACACCUACACCCCAAAUCCAUAAAAAAUACAAGUCCAAAAUAAAGAAGAAAAGGAAGUUAUUAUAGCACGUUACAAAACACAAGGUAAAACUAAGUACAAAAUUUUUUGCCGUCAUUCGCUUUGUCGUCACUCGCAAAGGGACUGCCACCUGAAACACGACAAAAAAAAGAAGUUUCGAUUCAAAGGUAAUCAUUCAAACGUUCCUAUUCGAAAGCAUUCACAUAACAUUCACACAUAUAUAUUGUUGUACUUAUACUCCCUUAAAACUAUCCUCGAUUUCAAUGUUCAUUGUGACUGAUCGAGUAAAUGAUUCAUGUUAGUGAAUAAAGCUAACAAACACUUAAAAUAAGCUUUAAAAAUUACUCAAAAGUUGUUGGACAUCAUGAUAAACAGAAAAUACUAUAAUUAUAUAUCACCAGGGAUCCGAAAAAUCACGAAACUCGCAGUAUAAUCAAGUUAAAGGACAAUUUAUUCGACUAAACCGAUUGCUGAAAUUUUUUAACAUUAGCAAAAAGUAAGUUAUUUUUGAAAAAUAAAACGUAAUUAAAACAUCUAGACUACUAUAAUCCCAAUAAUCAAACUAAAUAAUUCCAUAGACAACUAAUCAAGAAACAGACCUAAAAAAGAAGGCUAGAUUCUUUUUCUCUAUGCUGCUUUUUCUCUAUCUCUGUUUCUCCACUGCUGCCGUCGAUUUUCGCCCCUAACCGAGAAAUAAAAAACAGAGCAAAUUAGAUGGACAAAGUGAAAGGAGUUUUUUAACCCUAGGUUUACAUAUCGGGAUUGCAUGUCACCUGAGGGCCGCCGGAACUUCCGACGAUGACAUGCAAGUACGGAUCUGAGUUAAACAAGAGUAAAAUAAAAAAAAAAGGAUUUCAGAACUUUUUUACCUUUCUUUCUUGUAGUUGAUGACUGAGGACGGAGAGGAAGAGGAGAAAGAGAGGAAGAGAAGAAAAAAAUGGGGAGAAAAAGGGUCGCGGCGGCGGCAGCGGUGGUGGAAGCGGCGGCCGAGAGGAAGAAGAAAAGAAGAGAGAAGAAGAGUUAGAGAGAAGGGAGAGGUUUUAGAGAGAAGUUAUAGAAAAUUGCGAGGAGAGGAGGAGAUGAGAGAGAGUGGGAGGCUGUAAAAUGAAUAUUGGGAUUUUAUACGUCCUAAUAUUGUUGUAGUGAAAUGAUUGAAUCUCCCUUAGGGGCAAUUUUGUGUUUUCACGUUUCUAUUCGAACCGCAGGUAGCCGGUUCGACCAACCGAAUGCGUAGGCUGCCUCCCUCAACCAACAUAUCUGCCCCCCUUUAAUUGGUUAGGCCCAGCUUAGGCUUGGGCCCAAUUAAUUAUGAAAGACCAAGUCCUUUUGGUCAUUUAAGUCAUAUUUGUGUCCAUUAAAGUCGUAUUAAGAGCGAAAUAAAAUCGGAAUAAGAGUAGAAGAACGAUUUAAUAGAGGUCCUAAGUUAUUUUUUAAUUUAAUAGACGUCCUAAAUUUUUUUCUCUUAUUCGAUGUUUUUUGUAAGUUAAUGUUUUGAACCUAAAAAAAACUCGAAACUUUACAUUUAUUCAAAUUUAUGCAGUAUUUUAAUUAACAUUAAUAUAACGACAAUAGUACUACCAAACCGCCAAAAAUAUUUGUGGCCUAUUAUAAAAAGGUUUUGUUUCUCGUCUCGCAAUGUGUUUAUAAUUAUGUCAAAUCAAAUCAAUAUGAAUUGUUUAAAUUGUCUUUUGGCAAAUAAUGCGAAAAUUCUUUAAGAAUAAUUGUUUGAAAAUGCUAUAGCAACGUUUUACGAGUUUCGUACUAAUGAUAAGCGUUUCGAAUUUUGCAAAAUUAUUAAUUAGUUAAAAGUAGAAUGAGUAUCUAAAUUAUAAGCCGUUACAAAUUUUUAUUACUCCUCUAAACUUUAUAAAUAAUAGUGGCAUAACAUCGAAUCAAGAGGUUCGUAUGUAAGUAUUUUAAAAUUGUAUUCCCCCUCAGCGUGCCCGCACUUUUAGUUUUGGAAUACCGAAAGACGAGAGAUUUCGUUCUAAAAUCUUUGCCAUCAAAAUAAUUGAACAAGUAUCUUUAAAAAAAAGGAACAUGAUAAUGUAAUUUUACAAUAGUAAAGAUUACGCAAAAUCCUCUGAUCAACUUGUCACCAAUCGAACUACGUGGACUUUGAUCCCAAAAGAUUGGGUACGUAGGCAGUCGUAAAACUCGAGUCCAAUCAACUAAAUAAAAAAUAUUCAACUAAAAAAUAUGCAUGAACAUAAAACGAAAUUUCCAUAUAAAAAUUACUUAAAAAAAAAAUAUUCAUGAACAUAAAACGAAAUUUCCACAACGUCAUAUUGAGAAGCUUUUAGGAAUCUCCUCAUGAAAACAUAUGGAGUUGGAACAGACAUGUUAAACUGCAAAGCAUUAACCAUUAGCUUAUCNNNNNNNNNNNNNNNNNNNNNNNNNNNNNNNNNNNNNNNNNNNNNNNNNNNNNNNNNNNNNNNNNNNNNNNNNNNNNNNNNNNNNNNNNNNNNNNNNNNNNNNNNNNNNNNNAAAUAAAUCAAUAUACUUAAUUAAAAUUAUUUAUGAAUAUAAAGCGAAAUUUCCGCAAUAGUGGGUAUGCUUAAAUACAAAUAAUUAAAUACAAAUUACUUAACUAAAAAUAUUCAUGAACAUAAAUGAAAUUUCACCAAUAGUGGGAAUUCGUAAAUCCAAACAAUUAAAUAAAAAAUAUUCAACUAAAAAUCUUUAUGAACAUAAAACGAAAUUUUCACAAAAAUGGGGAUUCGUAAAUCCAAACAACUAAACAAAAAAAUAUUCAAAAAUAUUUAUCAACAUAAAGUGAAAUUUCCACAAAAGUGGGAAUUCGCAAAUACUUACAACUAAAUAGAAAUAUUCACUAAAAAUUACACAACCAUCCCAUUCAAACAAAAAUAUAAUUUAGCCACUAAAACAAAUAAAAAAAAACAUAACUUAUCAAAUUUUGUAGUACCGGUUUACCGGGCAUUGCGCGGGUGCUAAUCCUUCCCCGCACGUAACCGCCUCCCGAACUCAAGAUCCCCGUUUCGCAGACCAGAUCGUAACCCGUGUCCAAAAGGACCUGGGUUAUGUCAAAAGUGUCCAAUCCGCUUCUAAAAGAUUGGUGGCGACUCCAAAAUCAAUUUCGAGCCAUCGGCGCCGCGGACGGAAACGUUCACGACAGAUGGCGACUUCGCUGGGGACUAGGAACUCUCCAAAAGAGGCUAACUAUAAAAAUAAAUUCUCGAUAUGUUUGGGUUUUUAAUUUCUUUAAUGUGGCUUUACUUUCUCUAUAUGCGCUAUUUAAUUUCCAGUGUUCAUGCAUAUGCAUGCUCUAUACCCGAGCUUCACCCUUAGGUAGAAUUUUGAGUGAAGUAGCGUUUGCCUUUACAAUAGUAAGGGCGCGUGAACCCUCAUCCCAGUAUUGAGUCAUACCAGGAUUAGCUAUAUUCGCCUCAUAUAUUACGAUUAGAAGCCUCUCUUAGUCUACCUAGGAUAGAGCCUCACAAAAUCCGUUCGACAGCUCGCAACCUAGAAAAGCCCAGAGAUAGGCAUUUAUAUGAUUUAAUGUAUUAUUAUUAUUUAACGUGCGUAGUUCCUUUUAAUUCUCUUUUGUGAUCCUUAUUAAAUAUGAGCAUGCAUCAUGUCAACAUUUUUUUUAAUCAAGGUCUGUUACGCAUAGCUAAUCCCUAGAUUUACAUGUCCUUUGCCAUUAGAUGAAUAUGGUAGGUGAACUGGAGCCCUUCUGGGCGCUCCUCCCGCUGCCCCUGCAGAGAGAGAUCGUGGAAUGGACGCUUCCCAAAAGAAAUGCAUUCAUGGUUGAGGCCUUGAGGAUGAUUACCAUGGGUGAGGCCUUGAGGAUGAUUACAUAGCUUAGAAACAGUCGAGUGGACACCCCAAUCCUACAUCUUGAUUGGCAUCCUUGAUACACGAGCGUGUACACCUUCUUCACCCCGCCGCACUGCUACGACUCCUUCCCCGCUGAAGCCCGACUCCUAUUGGCAUUCAUGGUUAGGAACGGAACUAUGGGGGUAGUAUUUCACAUGACACAAUUGGCGGGUUUUGUCGCCAAAUGGGAGGUUAAUGCUGAGACUGUCACCCGUUUAGGAAGCUGGCUUAGUAGUUUCCUACCAUAAGCGAGUGGAAUACAUUCCUUCAACAAGAAUGGCUAGGAGAAUACAUGUUGUUCACCUUCCACAUAGAACAAGCUACCGAUUACUGGGAUGAUGAGCUAGUGGUAAUCGAAAGAAGUCAAGUUGUCUUUGAAGGCUCUUGGCCGACCAACCCAACUAUUCAGCCCGAGGACGACCCUGUUCGUUGAACGAAGAUGGCGACUACUAAUGGUGUUGAACAAUAUAGAGCAUGACCCAAUCUUGACCGUCCUACAGUCAGCCGACAACUACUACUGUGAUGGCAUAAUCAAGGAAAGCACUGGGAUCCUCUCAGAGGUACAAAUCGCGAACACCUUCUACCUUGAGGCAGAGUAUAACCAAGCAGUCUUCAGGGAUGUCAACUUUAGGAGAAGUUUUGGGAUCCCAUUGUACGAAGCCGGUUCGUUUAUCAGAAAUGGGGAGGGCAGUGGCUAAAGAUCGGAAGUAGCAUAGUCAAAGUUCUUCAUAAUUUUGUAUGUAUCGCGGAAGAACCUUGGUAGGACCUAGACGGGUAGUGCAGAUAUAGGAUGGUAAUCGGAAGUAAAUAAGACGGUAUGUGGCGCCUCGCUUGUCUUGAGGUUUUAGCUGAAUACCACAAUUUUGUAAUAGUAACAGGAUAAACCACGGCGCACACGUACGGUGACAGGCGUAAAACUCUUGGCAUCACCUGCAAAUUUUGGGAUGGAUGUGAAAAAUCAUAAUAUUAAUGGAUUAAAUAGCCUUCUAGUUUCUACUAAUGGCUCGACGCACGAUUCUUGGAUUUGAUUACGCGCAACAAACCUAUGCAUUCGUCUUUGUUUUUUUAGAAAAUUAUUUUAUUUUCUGACGUUCAGUCAAUGUCUUAGGUAUCAUCAUCACAACGCACCUGUUUUAUAACAUAGUUUCAUCUUGUAAAGUAUGGAAAGCUUCAUGGAUACUGUUGAUGAGGAAGAGUAUGUUAUGUGGUCGGCGGAACGACAACGUGAAGCUUACGGCGAUGAGCCACCGUUCCGCACCCUCGCCCCAAACUUGCCAAGCUGCCCAAUUCGGGUACCGACAUACGAAACCGAUGUGUUGAGGGACACCUGGUCAAUGCUCACCGAUGAAGGAAAAAGGUUGUUUAGCAAGAAAUACGGAUGUCUGUUCGAUCUGAUCAACACCCAAUCCCCGGGAGUUAUGAUGCAAUAACUCCUCAAGUAUUGGGAUCCUACGUCCCCGGGAGUUUCACUACUUCACAAUCAAUGACAUAUACAUUUCGCCACUAGCCGAGGAGUAUGGAUCAAUCCUACGUCUCGGGGACCUCCCACUUGCCAAGGUGUACACAACCCAAUCUAGUCCCAAGGUCGAAAAUCCACUGUCUCGCAUUCUAGGGGUAGCGAAGGAUAAGCUGAAAGGCCAAAUCCAGAUUGGGACAACUGGUGAGUACUUACCCAUUAGGUAUUUGCUAGGAUACAUCCGCAAUAGGAGUACGACAUGUCAUGGGCGAGUCAGUGCUUUGGCACUGAUCGUAUAUGGAGUAGUACUAUAUUCCAGCCUAAUACACUUUAUUAGUGAAAAUGCUAUCAGAAUUUUUGUGGCAAACUACCACAAGGCGAACCCCACAUAUGCAAUUAUGGCGGAAACCUUCGUGGCUCUUCACAGCUGCUACCAGCUAGCCGAGGAGACUCUAUAUGGCAGCGCUUCCUUGUUAUUUCGUGGAUCUUUAGACAUUUGAAGCUUUCGCCAGAGUUAGGAAUACCUAAUGUCCGGUACAGCAAAGCUUUCCAUGGAUCAACCAGCAUGAUUACCGAAUUUAUCCAAGCCGGAGGAGGGUACGAGAAUGCUACACCAAGCCAAUGGGAAAGGUAUUUUUCCGCCUUUCGAAGAACGACUAGUUGGCACCCUCAAUGCAUCACAAUUAUGCCUCGUGUCGGAUGUUGUGAUGCCCCCACAAGUUUAAGAUGCCAGACUUUGAGAAGUAUGACGGCACCACCUAUCCGAGAAGUCAUCUGGUAAUAUACUGGAGCAAAAUGGCAUGCCAUACAUUUGAUGAUAAGCUGAUGAUGCAUUGCUUCCAGAAUAGCUUGGGAGGCUCAGCUUUGAGGUGGUACAUGCAAGUUGAAAGAAUGAGAGUCAGAAGGUGGCAAGAUCUUGUUGAUGCUUUCAUGAGACAUUAUAAGCAUAAUCAGGAUCUAGACCUAGAUAGGGAGGACUUGCGGAAUAUGGAGAAAAAAGAGAACAAAUCAUUCCACAAAUAUGCCCAUAGGUGGCGUGAAAAGACCGCUGAAGUACAGCCGCCUAUGUCAGAGAAGGAGCUAGUCUCAAUAUUCUUUGAAACUCUUAAACCCCCCUUCUGCAAUAACAUGCUAGGGCUAAUCACAACGAACUUCUCCGACAUGUUGCUAAUCAGAGAAAUAAUUGACAAGGGAAUCAAGCAUAGCAGAGUGGAUGGUCAUGAUCCACUUCAAAAGCAUAAUACCACCCAUAAAAGGGAAGAAGUCAAUGCCACACGAGGUCAAGCUCCAAGGACUAGAGGAUGGGUUCGACCACCUACAGGUAAUCACACAUCGCCAUAUGUAGCUGUGGCCCUGCCAGUGGCCCAUAAUCAACCGUUCGCACCUCAGCAGAGGACAUUGCCCAAUACUGCUAUUCAACCAGGAAGAUAUCAGGGGAAUCAACCCAGGGCGUACCAUGGAGGUCAGCAGGUUGAAACUUAUGGGCAGUGCAGUCCUACCAAUUACAAGACGCCAGAGCAGCUCGACCCCAUACAAAUCUCGUAUACCGAGCUCUUCCCUUAGUUACUGAAAAGCAAGCAAAUUGUUCCAGUCCCGCUCAAACCGUUGCAACCAACCAUACCCCAGCUGGUACGACCCAGAUGUCCGGUGCGAGUAUCAUGCUGGGGCACCCGGUCAUGUAAUCGAAAACUGCAGGAGCUUUAAAUAUAAAGUACAAGAGCUAGUGAGGGCAGGGUAGUUGAAAUUCGACGGCCAGCCCAGCCGCCCCGAUGUGUAUAAGAAUCCGCUCCCUAACAAAUGAAGGGCAUAAUGUUGCUAGGAUCGGAAAAGAAGAAUCUUAUCAAGAGAAGUUGAGUGUUGCUAAAAUUAAAACACCAUUGAAGUAUGUAUACAAGCUGCUCAUAGACGGUGGUUACCUAAGGACCGCCGAGGGGUGAAAUAUUUCUGCAGUGCUAGGGGACAAAUGUCUAUACCACGGCGGAAACUCCGACGAUACCAUGGAUGAUUGUGAGACUUUCAAAGAGAAAUUACAAGCGCUCAUGGAUUCCAAACUGGUUAUUUUCUACUCAGGGGUCAAAGGAGCAGAUGACAUUUGCAUGGCGUAACCAGAAAGCCUAGAGUUUGACUUCCCUAAACUUGUGAUUCACUAUCAGGCCUCCGCCAAACCACCACCACCAUCUUUAGAAGUGAAACCAUUGGUUAUAAGGGUCCCUAGACCUUUCGAGUAUAAAAGCUCCAAGGCCGUCUCGUGGGGGUAUGCGUGUCAAGCUGAAAAGGAGGGCGAUGUUGACUCUCCGGCUAUAACCAACAUAACUGGUUUAAGUCAAAUCACAAGGAGCGGAAGACAAUAUGGUGUGCCUGAUGACCUAGACAAGACUGAAGGGGUUAGAAUGGCAGAAAUAAGGCAAGGGAAAAGAGCGUAUUCUGAAGUCGUUGGACCAGAUAGUGUUCCUCCUCGGGAUGAAUGCGAGGGGAGGAAAGAAGAUGAGGAUUAUGAAUCAAAAGUUAGUGAUGAAGAUGCAUGUGAGUUCUUGAAGCUUGUAAGGCAUAGCGAAUUCAAAGUAGUAGAGCAGCUUAACCGCACCCCGGCGAGGAUUUCACUCCUGUCCCUGAUGUUAACCUCUGAGCCCCAUCGACGAGCCCUCAUAAGAGUGCUGAACCAAGCGCACGUCUGCCAUGAUGUUUCAGUAGAGCGCUUCGAUGGGAUAGUCGGAGCGGUUUUAGCAAACGGGAAAAUCACUUUCGAUGAAGACGAGAUACCUUCUGAAGGAAUGGGCACAUCUCUGUAAAGUGUAAGGAUUUCAUGAUAGCCCAAAGCCUGGUUGACAACGGUUCAUGGAAAAGAAGAAUCUUAUCAAGAGAAGUUGAGUGUUGCUAAAAUUAAAACACCAUUGAAGUAUGUAUACAAGCUGCUCAUAGACGGUGGUUACCUAAGGACCGCCGAGGGGUGAAAUAUUUCUGCAGUGCUAGGGGACAAAUGUCUAUACCACGGCGGAAACUCCGACGAUACCAUGGAUGAUUGUGAGACUUUCAAAGAGAAAUUACAAGCGCUCAUGGAUUCCAAACUGGUUAUUUUCUACUCAGGGGUCAAAGGAGCAGAUGACAUUUGCAUGGCGUAACCAGAAAGCCUAGAGUUUGACUUCCCUAAACUUGUGAUUCGCUAUCAGGCCCCCGCUAAACUGCCACCACCGUCUUUAGGAGUGAAACCAUUGGUUAUAAGGGUCCCUAGACCUUUCGAGUAUAAAAGCUCCAAGGCCGUCUCGUGGGGGUAUGCGUGUCAAGCUGAAAAGGAGGGCGAUGUUGACUCUCCGGCUAUAACCAACAUAACUGGUUUAAGUCAAAUCACAAGGAGCGGAAGACAAUAUGGUGUGCCUGAUGACCUAGACAAGACUGAAGGGGUUAGAAUGGCAGAAAUAAGGCAAGGGAAAAGAGCGUAUUCUGAAGUCGUUGGACCAGAUAGUGUUCCUCCUCGGGAUGAAUGCGAGGGGAGGAAAGAAGAUGAGGAUUAUGAAUCAAAAGUUAGUGAUGAAGAUGCAUGCGAGUUCUUGAAGCUUGUAAGGCAUAGCGAAUUCAAAGUAGUAGAGCAGCUUAACCGUGGAGCAAGGAUUUCACUCAUGUCCCUGAUGUUAACCUCUGAACCCCAUCGAUGAGCCCUCAUAAAAGUGUUGAACCAAGCGCACGUCUGCCAGGAUGUCUCGGUAGAGCAAUUUGAUGGGAUAGUCAGAGCGGUUUUGGAAAACGGGAAAAUCACUUUCGACGAAGACGAGAUACCUUCCGUAGGAAUGGGUCACACUAAGGCACUACACAUCUCUGUAAAGUGUAAGGAUUUCAUGAUAGCCUGAUGCCUGGUUGACAAUGGUUCAUCACUGAAUGUUAUGCGUAAAUCCACCUUAAACAAGCUAUAAAUUGAUGGCUCAUACCUCAACCCAAGUUUCACAGUUGUUAGGGCUUUUGAUGGCACGAAGCAUAAAGUCAUAUGGAAAAUCUCGCUACCCGUUCAGGUGGGACCUAAGGUCUUCGAAGUGGAUUUCCACAUAAUGGGAAUAAAUCUGACAGACAGCCUGUUGCUGGAGUGCCCAUGGCUCCACACAGCGGGAGUAGUGACAUCAUCCUUACACCAGAAACUGAAGUUUGCAAUUGAUGGGAAGCUCAUUCAAGUGUUCGGAGAGGAGGAUGCACUGGUAACUAGAGCUUCGAACGCACCCUACAUUGAGACCACGGAGGAAGCCUUGGAAAGAGCAUUUCGGACCUUUGAAAUAGAGGACAUCGCAUAUGUAGGGCGUAGUGCAGCUUACAAAGCCCACAUCUCCCAAGCGACUCUAACAUCAGCAAAAUGCAUGUUUAAGGACCUCCACUACUCAUAAUGGCAGGAGGUGCUGAAAGAACCCAUCCAGGUCAAGGAAAACAAUAACCAUGCGAGAUUGGGAUACAUUCCGAAGAGUGAUGAUAUGAGGAGGAUCCAAGGGGAACAGAAAAGGAGGAGAAUUACCAAGUUAAGUGGGAGAGAAGAUGAUGAAGGAUUUACCUUCAUACCUCACAUCACAAGCACAUUCAGAAGCAUUGGAAGGAUAAAUGUGAGGAAAAACUACACUGAUCUGAGCACCAAAGGGUUACUGUCAGAUUUUGCAGACCUCUCCAUCAGCAUGCUAGGUACAGGAAUUACGAUCGGAAUAGAAUGGGUGCGCCAGCUCCAUCCGGAGGAAGAACUGAGCAGCUAGGUGUCUUUGGAGUUACCUUCAUCAUCACAGAUAUAAUAACUCUAAAAAAUUAGUGAUUCAGGAUGCUUGUAUCGUAUUUUCCCGAGUUUAAUAAAGCAUGUUUUUCAUAAGUAUCAAUCCGUGCAUCGUGCAUAUUAUUCACUUCCAUUUUUCUUAUUUUUCCUUUUCUAUUUCCCCCCGCGUGACAGGUUUACAGAUGUGUUUGAAAAUAAUGAAGGGUUUCAAAACAUUAAAGUGGACUUUGACCACCCAGUUUAUGAGAUGGAAAUCGAGGAAGGAAGUGAUGGUUCUGACCUAGAGACAGAUUGGAUGGCAGAACAAGAAGAGCGAUCUCUGGAACCAUUCUACGAGUCAGUAGAGACAGUGAGUUUGGGAACAGAGGAGAAUCGACGAGAGUUCAAGGUACGAGAUAGUUUAGACCGAGCUGAAAAGGAUAGGCUCGUUGAACUACUCCAGAACUUUCAAGAUGUUUUCGCAUGGUCUUAUCAGGAUAUGCCAGGCCUCGAUGAAAAAAUAAUAACACAUCGCUUGCCAAUAAGGGAAGAGUGCAAGCCAGUAAAGCCAAAGUUACGACGGAUUAAAUCGGAAUUGAUACUCAAAAUUAAGGAAGAAGUGCAAAAGCAAUACGAAGCCGAGUUCUUUCAAGUAGCACGAUACACCGAUUGGGUCUCUAAUAUAGUCCCUAUGCCUAAGAAGAAUGGGAAAGUGAGAAUGUGUGUAGACUAUAGAGAUUUAAAUAGGGCAAGACCGAAGGACAACUUUCCAUUGCCUCAUAUAGAUGUUCUUGUUGAUAAUACCGCCAAUCACCAUAUGUUCUCUUUCAUGGACGGUUUCUCAGGAUACAACCAAAUCAGGAUGUUUCCGGAGGAUCGUGAAAAAACCACCUUCAUAACUCUGUAGGGAACCUUUUGCUACAAAGUUAUGUCUUUUGGGCUGAAGAACAUUGGGGCAACCUACCAGCGGGCCAUGGUCACACUAUUCCAUGACAUGAUACAUAAAGAAAUAGAGGUAUAUGUGGAUGACAUUAUAGCAAAGUCAAAAAAUAAAGACGACCAUGUAACCGUGCUACGAAAAUUGUUUGAAUGACUCAGGAAGUACCAGCUUGUAUCCAGAAAAGUGUACGUUCGGAGUUACCUCAGGAAAGUUGCUCGGUUCCGUGGUUAGCCAAAAGGGGAUUGAAGUGGACCCUGGCAAAGUGAAGGCAAUAGUUGACAUGCCUCCUCCCCAAAAGCAAAAAGACGUGCGGGGGUUCUUGGGACGCUUGAAUUACAUUAGUCGGUUCAUAUCACAUUUGACUUCGACCUGUGAAUCCAUUUUCAAGCUUCUAAAAAAGAACCAGCAUGUCGAAUGGGAUGAAGGUUGUGAUCGAGCCUUUUAGAAAGUAAAAGGGUGUUUAUUAAACCCUCCAGUUCUGGUGCCGCCAACUUCGGCAAGGCCGCUAAUAUUGUACUUGACAGUAUUUGAAAAUUUGGUAGGCGCAAUGUUGGCUCAACACAAUGAAUCAGGAAGGAAAGAGUACGCCAUAUACUACCCCAGCAAGAAGUUCACUGAUUAUGAAUCACGAUAUACAUCGCUUGAGAAAACUUGCGGAGCGCUUGCAUGGGCAGCCAAGAGGCUGAGACAGUACAUGUUAUAUCACACGACACUCCUUAUAUCCAAAAUGGAAAUGGACCCUAUCAAGUAUGUCUUCGAAAAGUCGGCCCUCUCCGGACGGAUAGCCCGAUGGCAAGUGCUGCUAGCAGAGUACGACAUCGUUUAUACCCCGAGGAAGACCUCGGACCCGGGUACGAUGUUGAUGGACUUUCCGGAUGAAAGUAUAAUGAACACCAAUAAAUCGGAACAUGGGUGAUGAAGUUCGACGGGGCGUCAAACUCAUUGGGACAUGGCGUCGAGGUCGUGUUCGUCUCUCCAAAAGGAAAGGUUUGUCCUAUCACUGCCAAAAUUGGCUUUGACUGCACCAAUAACAUAGCAGAGUACGAAGCAUGCGCUUUCGAAAUCCGAGCUGCACUUGAAAUGGGCAUUAAGAAUUUGAAGGUGUAUGGUGAUUCAGCGCUAGUAAUCUACCAGUUGAAGGAAGAGUGGGAAACUAGGGAUCAUAAGCUCGUCCCAUACCAAAAAUACAUACGGGAGAUGGUGGCGAAGUUUGUGUCGAUACAAUUUAAGCACAUCUCACAAGUUUGAGCACAUCUCACGAGUCGACAAUCAAAUAGUAGAUGCUCUCGCCACAUUGUCCUCGAUGUACGAACUAGAUGAAACCGAGGUUAAUCCACGAAUCGAAAUCAAAAAGCGAAAUGCACCUGCCUACCUAGCUAGUGUUGAAGAGGAGCGUGAUGGAAAUCCCUGGUACCAUAACAUAAGGACCUACCUACAGAAAAGGGAAUACCCAACUAGGGCAUCCGAGAAUGAUAAACAGACCUUACGGAGGUUAGCGAUGGGUUACUAUGAUGAUGGAACUACCCUCUACAAGGUAAGCCAUGACUCUGUGCUCCUGAGUUGUGUGACUGCCCCUGAAUCUCAAAGAAUCAUAUAAGAAGUCCAUGAGGGAGUCUACAGCACGCAUGUCGGUGGUCACGCGUUAGCUAAGAAGAUAAUAAGGAUGGGUUACUAUUGGACGAAGAUGGACUCUGACUGUGUAAAUUAUGUGAGAAAAUGCCAUAAGUGCCAGGUUUAUGCCAAUGAAAAGCAUUUGCCUCCAUCAUCGUUGCACAUUAUGGCAUCGCCUUGGCCUUUUGCAGCAUGGGGGAUCGACGUUAUAGGCAUGAUUGAACCAAAAGCAUCGAAUGGGCACCGUUUCAUCCUAGUAGCCAUCGACUACUUCAAAAAAUGGAUUGAGGCUGCAUCAUACCCAAACAUCACCAAAAGCGUCGUCACAAAGUUCAUAAAAAAGGAAAUCAUUUGCCGGUAUUGGCUCCCGGAAAGAAUAAUUACCGAGAAUGCAAAAAAUCUCAACAACAAGAUGAUGGAUGAGCUUUGCAACCAGUUUAAGAUCAAACACCACAACUCGGUAUCAUACCGACCAAAGAUGAAUGGAGCGGUCGAGGCGGCGAACAAAAAUCUCAAGAAAAUCAUAAAGAAAAUGGUCGUUACCUACCGCGAUUGGCACAAAAUGCUGUCGUUUGCCCUGCACAGUUACCGAACGUUAGUAAGAACCUCGACAGGAUCGACUCCUUAGCAAUUGGUCUAUGGGAUGGAGGCGGUGCUUCCCAUAGAGGUAGAAAUACCUUCAUUAAGGGUUAUCAUGGAAGCAAAGUUUGAAGAAGCUGAGUGGAUAAAAGCGUGGUAUGAUCAUUUAAAUUUAAUUGAUGAGAAAAGGUUGACAACCAUCCACCACGGGCAUCUGUAUUAGCACAGAUUGGUUAGAGCUUUUAACAAAAAAGUGAAACCACGGGUAUUCCGCGAAGGGGAGAAAGUGAAACCACGGGUAUUCCGCGAGGGAGAGUUGGUAACAAAGAACAUUUCCAUUCGACAAGGGGACCCAAGAGGAAAGUGGACGCCGAACUAUGAAGGGCCCUAUGUAGUGAAGAGGGCUUUCUCAGGAGGGGCUUUGAUAUUAACGAACAUGGAUGGAGACGAGCUCCCUUACCCAGUUAACUCUGAUUCAGUGAACAAGUACUAUGCUUAGAGUUCACGAUGGAGAUGUACAAGAUCGUUUUUCCAUCAAUAAUGUGAAGGUUUAAGUCAACUUUACAUUUUGGAUACUUCAUGAAUUGUCAAACACUAUUCUCCUAAACGUUGUUCACGCGCCACCAAAUAGAAUGGACCCUCACGACACUCCAAAUGAACUUGGUUCAAAUGCGUUCAUGCUAACACUUUCACUCUAAUUAAUCAUUAGGAGGUCUUUCUAAACGAAAGUAUUAGUAAGGUAGAAAAAACAAAGGAGAAAAAUGCUAGUAAUAAUAAUAAAAAUCAUUGAAGGAACGAAAUAGUUAAAGAGAGGCUAUAGAAAAGAAGCCUAAACGGUAGGUUUGCUCUACUUAUUCCUAACCCCGGAAAGCAAUUAACGAGGGUCGUUGUGGUUUUACAAUUAUAACCAAAAGUAGAGACAAAGUAGGAAGGAGAUCCUCAAGAUAACGGGGUAAGAGCAUAAUAUGAAGACGUCAGGAGGAAAAACAAAGGAAAAGGAGUGCGUACGAUGACGUUACCCAGCUAUCAGCGGGGUUGCCACCAUUGCGCUAGCAUGUGACACAAACCAAGCGGCAAGUCGGCUCUCGAAAUUAGGAAUCAUAGACGCUCGAGAUAGAUCGACAAUGUCCCUACCUAUAUUGGGAGGGGGGGCGCACGUCCCAAGCAAAAAGGAGCAACGGUUGAAACUUGCGAAAUCAUUAUAUCAAACUCGGAUCGUCAAGUAGACAUUCACCUCAGAAAAAUCCUACCGUAAUGUUUACCAUCAUGAAAGUAGUGUCUUGUUGCAACUAGUGGUUCUAGGAGGACCUGGGAACAAGGUACAGUUUCUAGCACUUGACAAUGUGUUUUCUACAAAACAAUCAAUUCCCUGGGAAAAAGUCAAACAUCACAUGCAUAUUUUUCAUAAAAAAGGGAGCCUUACUCAAGUUCUUGCAAAAACCAUUCAUCAUCAACACAUUUGCACCAUGGAACGGGAAAUAAGUCAAGCUGAAUCCCUAGUACGUUCACCCUAGCAUCCAGGGUCAAGCGAAUCGCACCAUAGAAUGAGAAAUAAAUCAAGCUGAAUCCCUAGUACAUCAACCCUUAACAUCCUGGGGCAAGCGGAUCGCAUCACGGAACGAGAAAUAAGUCAAGUAGAAUCCCUAGUACGUUCACCCUAGCAUCCAGGGUCAAGCGGAUCGCACCUUGGAACGGGAGAUAAGUCAAGCUGAGUCCCUAAUACAUUCACCCUAGCAUCAUGGGUUAAAUGGAUUGCACCUUGGAACGGGAGAUAAGUCAAGCUGGGUCCCUAGUACAAUCACCACUAGUGUCGUUGGACGGACCAAUCGCACGCGCGUCAAUAGAUCUUAUCUAUGCCAUCCCGUUAUUACUACUCCAUGUAAAAAUAAUAGUAAUAAACAAAAUAUAAAAUAAACCAACGUGAGGAUAGACUCAGUGAGCCUUUCGAAAUUUGGUUCUUAUCUUUGUGCUACUUUUUGUUAUAAACAAAAGUAACACAAAGAGGGGCAACUGUAGUAACCAAAUUUGUCUGGGCUUUCGAACUUGUAGUUCCGUAAUUUUUUUCUACGCCAAAAUGUCAAUGCUAAUAUAUUCGAUUCAAAGAUAAUCAUUCAAACGUUCCUAUUCGAAAGCAUUCACAUAACAUUCACACAUACAUAUUGUUGUACUUAUAGUCCCUUAGAACUACCAUGGAUUUCAAUGUUCAUUGUGAUUGAUCGAGUACACGAUUCGUGUUAGUGAAUAAAGCUAACAAACCCUUAAAAUAAGCUUUAAAAAUCACCCAAAAAUGCUGGAAAUCAUGAUAAACAGAAAAACCUAUAAUUAUAUUUCACGAGGGAUCCGAUAAGUCACGAAAUUCGCAGUAUAAUCGAGUUAAAGCACAAUUUAUUCGACUAAACAGAUUGCUGAAUUUUUUUAACAUCAGUAAGAAAUAAGGUUUUUUAAAAAAAUAAAACUUAAUUAAAAUAUCUAGACUACUAUAAUCCCAAUAAUCAAAUUAAAUAAUUCCUUAGACAACUAAUCAACAAACAGACCUAAAAAAAAGGCUAGAUUCUUUUUCUCCACACUGCUUUUUCUCUAUCUCUGUUUCUCCACCGCUACCGUCGAUUUUCGCCCCUUACCAAGAAAUAAAAAACAGAGCAAAUUCGAUCGACAAAGUAAAAGGAGUUUUCAACCUAGGUUUACAGAUCGGGACUUGCAUGUCAACUGAGGGCCCGCCGGAACCUCCGACAACGACAUGCAAGCCCGGAUCUGAGUUAAACAAGAGUAAAAUAACAAAAAAGGAUUUCAGCACUUUUUUACCUUUCUUUCUUGUUGUUGAUGACUGAGGACAAAGAGGAAGAGGAGAAAGAGAGGAAGAGAAGAAAAAAAAAGGGGGAGAGGAAGGGCCGCGGCGGCGGCAGCCCCGCGGCGACGGCCCAACGGCGGCGGUACUUGUGGUGGAAGCGGCGGCCAAGAGGAAGAAGAAGAGAAUAGAGGAGGAGAGUUAGAGAGAAGGGAGAGGUUUUAGAGAGAAGUCAGAGAGAAUUGAGAGGAGAGAUAGUGGGAGGCCAUAUCGAAAAUUGGCCUUUUAUACGUCCUAGUAUGGUUGUGGUGAAAUGAAUGAAUUGCCCUUGCCUUCCUUCUUCAGCACUCAAAGCUCCAGGGGCAAUUUUUUGUGUAACCGGUUCGACCAACCGAUCGUGUGGUCUGCCUCCCUCAACCAACAGAUCUGCCCCCUUUAAUUGGUUGGGCCCAGCUUGUGGUUGGACCCAAUUAAUUAUGAAAGGCCAAGUCCUUUUGGCCAUUUAUGUUAUAUUUGUGUCCAUUAAAGUCGUAUUAAGAGCAAAAUAAAAUCGGAAUAAGAGUAGAAGAACGAUUUAAUAGACGUCCUAAGUUUUUUUGUCUUAUUCGAUGUUUUUUUAAGUUAAUGUUUAAACCUAAAAAAAAACUCGAAACUUUACAUUUAUUCAAAUCAAUGUAGUAUUUAAUUAACAUUAAUAUAACGACAAUAAUACUAACAAACCGCCAAAAAUAUUUGUGGCUUAUGAUAAAAAUGUUUUGUUUCCCAUACCGCAAUGUGUUUAUAAUUAUGUCAAAUCAAAUCAGUAUGAAUUGUUUAAAUUGUCAUUUGGCAAGUAAUGUGAAAAUUCUUUAAGAAUAAUUCUUUGAAAAUUCUAUCGCAACGUUUUACGAGUUUUGUACUAAUGAUAAGCAUUUCAAAGUUUGCAAAAUUAUUAAUUACUUAAAAGUAUCUAAAUUACAAGUCGUUGCUAAUUUUUAUUACUCCUUUAAACUUUAUAAAUAAUAGUGGCCUAACAUCGAACCAAGAGGUUCGUAAGUAAGUAUUUUACAAUGUGUAUUGCCCCUCGGGAUGUCCACACUUUCAGUUUCGGAAUACCGAAACACGAGGGUUUUCGUUCUAAAAAUUUGUCACCAAAAUAAUCAAGUAAAUAUCUUUCAAAUAAAAAAUGAACAUGAUAAUGUAAUUUUAUAAUAGUAAAGAUUAUGCAAAAUCCUCUGAUCAACUUGUCACCAGGCGAACUACGUGGAUUUUAUCCCAAAGAAUUGGGUAUGUAUGCAGUCGUAAGACUCGAGUCUAAAUAAUUAAAUAAAAAUUACUUAACUAAAAGAAGUAUUCAUGAACAUAAAAUGAAAUUUCCACAAUAGUGGGAGUUCGUAAAUCCAAAUAAUUAAAUACAAAUUACUUAACUAAAAAUAUUCAUGAACAUAAACGAAAUUUCCACAAUAGUGGGAAUUCAUAAAUCCAAAUAAUUAAAUACAAAUUACUUAACUAAAAAUAUUCAUGAACAUAAACGAAAUUUCCACAAUAGUGGGAAUUCAUAAAUCCAAAUAAUUAAAUAAAAAUUACUUCCCCCCUCGUAACCACCUGCCGAACCAAAGAUCCUCGUUUCGCAGACCAGAUCAUAACUCGCGUCCAAAAGGACCUGGGUUAUGUCGAAAGCGUCCAAUCCGCUUCUAAAAGAUUGGUGGGGACUCCAAAAUCAAUUUCGAGCCAUCGGCGCGGACGGGAACGUUUACGACAGAUGGCGACUCCGUUGGGGACUAGGAACUCUCCAAAAGAGGCUAACUACAAAAAUAAAUUCUCGAUAUGUUUGGGUGUUUAAUUUCUUCAAUGUGGCUUUACUUUUCGUAUAUGCGCUAUUUAAUUUCCAGUGUUCAUGCAUAUGCAUGCUCUAUACCCGAGCUUCACCCUUAGGUAGAAUUUUGAGUGAAGUAGCGUUUGCCUUUACAAUAGUAAGGGUGCAUGAACCCUCGUCCCAAUAUUGAGUCAUACCAUGAUUAGCUACAUUCGCCUCAUAUAGUACACCUAGAAGCCUCCCUUAGUCUGCUUAGGAUAGAGCCGCACAAAACCCGUUCGACAGCUCGCAACCUAGAAAAGCCCGGAGAUAGGGAUUUAUAUGAUUUAAUGUAUUAUUAUUACUCAACGUGUGUAGUUCCUUUUAAUUCUCUUUUGUGAUCCUUAUUAAAUAUGAGCAUGCAUUAUGUCAACAUUUUUUUUAAUCAAGGACUGUUGCGCAUAGCUAAUCCCUAUAUUUACAUGUCCUUUGCCAUUAGAUGAAUAUGGUUGGUAAACUCGAGCCCUUCUGGGCGCUCCUCCCGCUGCCCCUGCAGAGAGAGAUCGUGGAAUGGACGCUUCCCAAAAGAAAUGCAUUCAUGGUUGAGGCCUUGAGGAUGAUUA
rnacentral:lncRNA from 1 species